ensembl:lncRNA
UCAUAAUAUAAAUAAAAGUACGAACGUCGGAUCUAACAAUCGUUUUAUAAUGAGUAGUACUAAUGGUGAUAAUAACAGUGGUAAUAAUAACAAAAACAGUAUUAAAAGUAUAACAGGUACAAAUCAGACUAUUCUUUAUCAAGGUUAUAAAAACGAUAGUAGUGACACUGUAACUGGAACUGACACCGGAACAGACCAUGUCGUUAAUAGUACAGCCGAUUUUUUAAAAAAAAAACAAGAAUCUUAUUAUAUUCCCAAUUAUAUUAGUGAACAAAAUAAAACGAAUAACAACAUGCGUAUAAAUAACACAUUUUAUUUAAANNNNNNNNNNNNNNNNNNNNNNNNNNNNNNNNNNNNNNNNNNNNNNNNNNNNNNNNNNNNNNNNNNNNNNNNNNNNNNNNNNNNNNNNNNNNNNNNNNNNCAGGUACUACAGGUACUACAGGUACUACAGGUACUACAGGUACUACAGGUACUACAAGCACUACAGGUACUACAGGUACUACAAGCACUACAGGUACUACAAGCACUACAGGUACUACAAGCACUACAGGUACUACAAGCACUACAGGUACUACAAGCACUACAGGUACUACAAGCACUACAGGUACUACAGGCACUACUGGUACUACUGCUACAACAACAAACAACAUCAGAGAAACAAAAAAAACAAAUGACAAUACUAAUAUUGACAGUAGUAGUAGUAAUAGUACAUACAAUCUCGGAAUUAAUAACAACACCGACACCCAUAACAAGAACAGUAACUAUUUUUAUAUUAAUUCAAAAAGCAUAAUAAGAAAAGAUGACGAAAAUAAUAAUAUGAACAUGAAUAUGUGGAAAAAUAAGUCGUCAUUUGCUACUACAGGUAAUAACAAAAUCGAUAGUCGUGGUAUUAAAAAUAAUGUUAAUGAUGACGAAACAAAUAAAAAUGCUAAUGUAAUGACAUAUGAUAAAAUAUAUCCGUCAGUUAAUAAUAAUAUAUACAGAAAACAUUUUAAAACUAAUGGUUUAUUUACACAACCAAAUGCCAUGAAGAAUCAAAAUGCUUACCACUCCACAAACGUAUAUAACGGAUCUAAUUUUAGUACUACUGGUAAUAACAAUAUCUUGGUUCCUACUGGAAAUAGUAUUAGUAGCAACAAAAACAACAACAACGUCAACAACAAUAUCAACAACAACAACAACAACAACAACAACAACAAUAACAACAACAAUAACAACAACAACAACAACAACGUCAACAACAACAACAACAAUAACAACAGUAGUAGUAGCAAUACUCCCACUAUGAAUAACGUCAACUUUUAUGCUACUAAAAACACAAAAGGCACAGAAAAGAAAAAAACAAAAAACGAAAAAACGGUUGUAGAAAACGACUGGAGUGCUUUAAGAAAAAAAAAUAUCGAAUUGGGAAUUAAAAAAGCAAGUAAUGAUUUGAUUUGGAAUAAAAUGAGUGAACAAUUUGAUAAAAAUAAUAAUAAAAAAUAUAAUACUGGUAAAGAAUGUAUAGAAGGUAAUAAUUUAUUUAUGGGUAAUAGCAAUAAUAGUAAUAAUAAAGAAGAGGGCUCUGUUGCGGUUGUAGGUGAAAUUAUUACUACUAAUAACAGGGUUAGUGAUAUUUUAAAAGGUAUUAACGAUACGUAUGAAAAAAAUCAACAGAUAAAUAAAAAUAAAAAGGGUGUGGUUACUGGUAACCGUAUUAAUUGUAGUAAUAGUAGUGGUGAUGAUAAUAUUAAUGAUGACUCAUUACUAAAGAAAAUGAAAAAUAAGAAUUGUACUAAAGAUUUUAGUAUUAAAUCUUAUUUGGAUAAUAUAAAUAUAAAAGGUGUUAAAAGGGAAGAUGGCUUCAGAAAUGGGAUAGUGAAUAGCGACAAAUUUGGUUCCAGCAUAGACGACGGUAUGUCAAGUGGUGAUUAUACUAUGAAAAAACAAACAAAAAACAAAAAACAAAACAAUAAUAUAGGUGAAGGAGAGGAUAGUGCUAUUUAUUGUAAUGCUGAUGGCAAGAUAAGCGAAAAAAAACUCGAAGACAAUGACAACAAUAGCAAUCACCUAUACACAAAUGUAAAUAAUCGAAAUGAUAUAUAUAGCAAUUUAAACAAUUUAAACAAUUUAAACAAUUUAAACAAUUUAAGCAAUUUAAGUAAUAGCAACAUGUCAUAUCUAAUGAACUAUUUAAAUUUAAAAAAUGUGCCUAAAAAUAACGAGUGUUACCUUAACAAUAAUAAUAAUAAUAAUGACCCUAUAUUAAAAAAUGAUUUCAACAAUUUGAAAGAAGAAUAUAACCAUAGUCAUAAUAUGUACAUGAAUAAUAUUAACAACAAAAACAGAAUGCCAAUUAAGGUAGUAGAUGCUCAUAACAAUGUGAAUGACAACAACAAUAAUAAUAACAUAAGAACCGGUAGAUUAGGUUUUAUUUCACAUUUAAAUGGUAAUUCGAAUACAUCUACUAUGAACCCAAACAACAUUUUAAACGCAUCUUCU